rnacentral:rRNA from 1 species
AUUGAACGCUGGCGGCAGGCCUAACACAUGCAAGUCGAACGGCAGCACAGAAGAGCUUGCUCUUUGGGUGACGAGUGGCGGACGGGUGAGUAACGUCUGGGAAACUGCCCGAUGGAGGGGGGUAACUACUGGAAACGGUAGCUAAUACCGCAUAACGUCGCAAGACCAAAGUGGGGGACCUUCGGGCCUCACACCAUCGGAUGGGCCCGGAUGGGAUUAGCUAGUAGGUGGGGUAAUGGCUCACCUAGGCGACGAUCCCUAGCUGGUCUGAGAGGAUGACCAGCCACACUGGAACUGAGACACGGUCCAGACUCCUACGGGAGGCAGCAGUGGGGAAUAUUGCACAAUGGGCGCAAGCCUGAUGCAGCCAUGCCGCGUGUAUGAAGAAGGCCUUCGGGUUGUAAAGUACUUUCAGCGGGGAGGAAGGCGGUGAAGUUAAUAGCUUCACCGAUUGACGUUACCCGCAGAAGAAGCACCGGCUAACUCCGUGCCAGCCGCCGCAGUAA